CUGGUGCCAGCAGCCNCGGUAAUUCCAGCUCCAAUAGCGUAUAUUAAAGUUGUUGCAGUUAAAAAGCUCGUAGUUGAAUUUCGGGAUCAAAUUGUUGGUCGUGCCUCGGUACGCACUGGUAUUAUUGGUUCCUACCUUCUGAAGAACCGCGAUGUCAUUAAUUUGGUGUCGUGGGAAUCAGGACUGUUACUUUGAAAAAUUAGAGUGUUUAAAGCAGGCUUACGCUUGAAUACAUUAGCAUGGAAUAAUGAAAUAGGACGUUUGAUUCUAUUUUGUUGGUUUCUAGGAUUGACGUAAUGAUUAAUAGGGAUAGUUGGGGGCAUUAGUAUUCAAUUGUCAGAGGUGAAAUUCUUGGAUUUAUUGAAGACUAACUACUGCGAAAGCAUUUGCCAAGGAUGUUUUCAUUAAUCAAGAACGAAAGUUAGGGGGAUCGAAGACGAUCAGAUACCGUCGUAGUCUUAACCAUAAACUAUGCCGACUAGGGAUCGGAUGAUGUUAAUUUUUUAAUGACUCAUUCGGCGCCUUACG
rnacentral:rRNA from 1 species